GACAGUCCAUAGCGGAAGGAACAAAAACUUGGGACUAAGAAGUAAAACAGAGAGUGUCCAUCGUUAACAUAGCUGAGCUGAAAAAGAACUCUCUGCUUCUUAGUCUUGCCUUCCCACAGAGAAGCGGGUCGUUCUGCCCACAGUGCCUCCACCACUGCUCGGUCCGCACUUACCGCCCGAGGACACUGGUCCAGUGCCCGUCUAUGAUUUGAGAUGUGGCCACAUCACCUUAGAUGACCGGAUGCUUGAAAAACAAGUCCCUAAGGGGAGGAGUAGGAGUGUUACAAUCUUCCAGUGGACUAGAAACCUCCUGGAAAUCUGCCAUCAAAUUCAUGACCAUAGUAGACAACGCUGCUAGUCUCCUCCUGCCGGGAAGGAGAUGACCAGCUUGCUGGGAAGUGCUCCCAGGAUGGAUGAUUUCUACUGAGGAUGGCUCUGGGUACACAGUACGAUUCCGACAGGAAUGCGAUGGCUUUUUAUGUGCCCCGUAAAUGCCCAAUUAGCUUUUUGCCUUCCUGCCUUCUUUUUCCCCUUCCUUUUCCUUCUCUCUG